AGGAUUAUAGUUUAAAAAUAAAUAUUUGAUUUGCAUUCAAAAGAUAUUGAAAAAUCAAUUUAUCUUA
rnacentral:tRNA from 1 species